CGUAGGUGGCAAGCGUUUGUCCGGAUUUAUUGGGUUUAAAGGGUGCGUAGGUGGCCUAUUAAGUCAGUGCUGUAAAUAUCCCGGCUUAACCGGGAGGUGGCAUUGAUACUGAUGGGCUUGAGUAGAGUCGAGGUAGGCGGAAUUGACGGUGUAGCGGUGAAAUGCUUAGAUAUCGUCAAGAACACCUAUUGCGAAGGCAGCUUACUAGGCUCAAACUGACACUGAUGCACGAAAGUGUGGGGAUCAAACAGGAUUAGAUACCCUGGUAGUCCACACUGUAAACGUUGAUGACUCGCUGUUGGCGAUACAAUGUCAGCGGCUGAGAGAAAUCGUUAAGUCAUCCACCUGGGGAGUACGCCGGCAACGGUG
rnacentral:rRNA from 1 species